rnacentral:lncRNA from 1 species
GACCCACUUUUUUUUCCGAUUAAAUCUCACAUUAUUAAAUACAUACAUGAUAUGAACAUAAUUUUUUUUUCUAUUCAGCAUUUUUUAUUUAUUUAUUUUCAAAGUUCAGCUGUUUUGCAUGUAAGCCUAUAGAGCAGUCAAUUACAAGACUGCAACCUAUAGUUAUUCUUGUGUCUGUCUUUCAACACUUCUCUGCUAGUCCAGUCAAUCUAGCAUAAAUUUGACCCUAACCUGAAAGUAAUUGCAACAGAAGAUAUUUAAGUUU